rnacentral:rRNA from 1 species
UACGUAGGGGGCUAGCGUUGUCCGGAAUCAUUGGGCGUAAAGCGCGCGUAGGCGGCCCGGUAAGUCCGCUGUGAAAGUCAAAGGCUCAACCUUUGAAUGUCAGCGGAUACUGCCGGGCUAGAGUCCGGAAGAGGCGAGUGGAAUUCCUGGUGUAGCGGUGGAAUGCGCAGAUAUCAGGAGGAACACCAAUAGCGAAGGCAGCUCGCUGGGACGGUACUGACACUAAGGCGCGAAAGCGUGGGGAGCGAACAGG